GAACGAACUUCCGUUAAUUGAUUAUGACGUACUUGUACUGAUUGAGAUUUUAACACGAAGUGAGUGGCGAACGGGUGAGUAACACGUGGGUAACCUGCCCAGAAGUAGGGGAUAACACCUGGAAACAGAUGCUAAUACCGUAUAACAGAGAAAACCGCAUGGUUUUCUUUUAAAAGAUGGCUCUGCUAUCACUUCUGGAUGGACCCGCGGCGUAUUAGCUAGUUGGUGAGGUAAAGGCUCACCAAGGCAGUGAUACGUAGCCGACCUGAGAGGGUAAUCGGCCACAUUGGGACUGAGACACGGCCCAGACUCCUACGGGAGGCAGCAGUAGGGAAUCUUCCACAAUGGACGCAAGUCUGAUGGAGCAACGCCGCGUGAGUGAAGAAGGGUUUCGGCUCGUAAAGCUCUGUUGUUAAAGAAGAACGUGGGUAAGAGUAACUGUUUACCCAGUGACGGUAUUUAACCAGAAAGCCACGGCUAACUACGUGCCAGCAGCCGCGGUAAUACGUAGGUGGCAAGCGUUAUCCGGAUUUAUUGGGCGUAAAGCGAGCGCAGGCGGUCUUUUAAGUCUAAUGUGAAAGCCUUCGGCUCAACCGAAGAAGUGCAUUGGAAACUGGGAGACUUGAGUGCAGAAGAGGACAGUGGAACUCCAUGUGUAGCGGUGAAAUGCGUAGAUAUAUGGAAGAACACCAGUGGCGAAGGCGGCUGUCUGGUCUGCAACUGACGCUGAGGCUCGAAAGCAUGGGUAGCGAACAGGAUUAGAUACCCUGGUAGUCCAUGCCGUAAACGAUGAUUACUAAGUGUUGGAGGGUUUCCGCCCUUCAGUGCUGCAGCUAACGCAUUAAGUAAUCCGCCUGGGGAGUACGACCGCAAGGUUGAAACUCAAAAGAAUUGACGGGGGCCCGCACAAGCGGUGGAGCAUGUGGUUUAAUUCGAAGCUACGCGAAGAACCUUACCAGGUCUUGACAUCUUCUGACAGUCUAAGAGAUUAGAGGUUCCCUUCGGGGACAGAAUGACAGGUGGUGCAUGGUUGUCGUCAGCUCGUGUCGUGAGAUGUUGGGUUAAGUCCCGCAACGAGCGCAACCCUUAUUACUAGUUGCCAGCAUUAAGUUGGGCACUCUAGUGAGACUGCCGGUGACAAACCGGAGGAAGGUGGGGACGACGUCAAAUCAUCAUGCCCCUUAUGACCUGGGCUACACACGUGCUACAAUGGAUGGUACAACGAGUCGCGAGACCGCGAGGUUAAGCUAAUCUCUUAAAACCAUUCUCAGUUCGGACUGUAGGCUGCAACUCGCCUACACGAAGUCGGAAUCGCUAGUAAUCGCGGAUCAGCAUGCCGCGGUGAAUACGUUCCCGGGCCUUGUACACACCGCCCGUCACACCAUGAGAGUUUGUAACACCCAAAGCCGGUGGGGUAACCUUUAGGA
rnacentral:rRNA from 1 species